rnacentral:tRNA from 1 species
UUGCCGGCUUAGUAUAUGGUAGUACCCUGGGUUGUAGGUUCAGUAGUGAGUUUUGUCAGUCGGAAU